AAAUAAAAUGGAUGAUACAUUUUAGAGAAUUUUGUAAGUUUGGUAAUAGAUCUAAAGUUAAAAUUUUAAGAGUUUGUGGAUACAUAUGUGUUUAAUAUAUACUAUAAGUUUAAACUUGAUCAAAAGGCUAAAUUGAGGAUUAUUGAGUUUUAAGUGCAUUAGAGUCUCAGAAAGUAGAAUUUUAGGUUUGGUGAGGAUUUAAGAUUUCUUGCAAUUUACUAGUUGGAUUAGAGUAAAAUUUGUGUACAUGGAUAAUAGAUUUGAUUUGAUACACAUAAUUAAAAUUUAAAAAUAAUUAAAUGGUUUGAAAAGGGAGAUUUUAGUACUAAAAAUUUAUUAUUUAGAUUGGAAUAGGAGAGCGGCCAAUACUUGAGUAGAUUUUAGGAUCAAUCUUCUUUUUAGUGAGUUUGAUCUUCUUCAAAAAUAUUUUAGUUGUUUUCAACUUAAUUAUUUAGAGAUGUACAAAAUUUGAAUUAAAAUCAAUAUUUUAGUCAUUAGUUAUUGAGGUUUAAAUCUGUUGUAGGAAUUACUUGGGAUUAUUUAGGAUUUGGUUUAGAUUAGGGUUUAUUCAGGGUUUGGUUUAGGAUUUGGUUUGGUUAGGAUUUAUGGUUUGAUUUAGGAUUUGGUUUAGGUUAGGAUUUGGUUAGGAUUUAGGAUUUGAUUUAGAAUUUGAUAAAGAUUUUGUUAGAAUUUAGGAUUUGGUUUAGGAUUUGGUUUAGAUUAGAAUUUGAUUAAGAUUUGAUUACAAUUUGAUUACAAUUUGACGAAGGUUUAUCUAGGAUUUAUUUAGGAUUUGAUUGGGGCUUAUUUAGGAUUUGAUUAAGAUUUAAUUAGGAUUUUUUUAGGAUUUGUUUACGAUUUGGUUGGAACUUAUUUAGAAUUUGAUUAGGAUUUGAUUAGAAUUUGUUUGGAAUUUGAUUAGGAUUUGUCUAGGAUUUGAUUGAGGUCAUUUAGGAUUUGAUUAAGAUUUGACUAAGUUUUUUCUAAGAUUUGACCUAGAUUUGACCAAGAUUUGACCAAAAUUUAAUUAAUGUUUUUAUUUUAAUAUUUUAUUAAGAU
rnacentral:lncRNA from 1 species